rnacentral:lncRNA from 1 species
ACUGGAACUUGAUCCAUUGUUCAUGCCGCAAUGGCCAUCGCCACCGCCACCGUCGCCGCCAUCAGGAUCUGGUAUGCUUGUGCCGUGAUUCUGUCCGACGCGCGAGACGUGGAGGGAGAUGGAGCAGGACUGACAGGUGGCGGAGGAGGUGGUGUAGCAGGAGUGGAGGGUGAUGGUGGUGGCGAGGUAGGAGGUGAAGCAGGAGCGACGGGUGUUGGUGGUGUGGGAGGUGAGGUAGGAGGAGAAGCAGGACUGAGGGGUGGUGGAGGAGGAGGAGGUGGUGUAGCGGGAGCGGAGGGCGAUGGUGGUGGUGAGGUAGGAGGUGAAGCAGGAGCGAAGGGUGGUGUGGGAGGUGAGGUAGGAGGAGAAGCAGGACUGAGGGGUGGUGGAGAUGGAGGUGGUGAAGCAGGACCAGAGGGUGGUGAGGCAGGAGGCGAAGCAGGGCUGAUGGCUGCUGGAAGAAUAUUGACGACGAGCUUCUGGCCCCUGGUGCAGUGAUCACCAAACCCACACAUGUACCAUCUCCUUCCAGGAGUGUCCAAAGCCACCAAAUCAUUGCCGCUGGUGAAGGUGUUGAUUGCUACUGCUGAUGUAUUGCAUACCUUGAAGUCUGGUCCCCCGACCUGCAUGACAUUGUGAGCCCCUUGCAUGUACUUG